rnacentral:rRNA from 1 species
GACGGAGGAUGCAAGUGUUAUCCGGAAUCACUGGGCGUAAAGCGUCUGUAGGUGGUCAAAUAAGUCAACUGUUAAAUCUUGAGGCUCAACCUCAAAAUCGCAGUCGAAACUAUUCGACUAGAGUAUAGUAGGGGUAGAGGGAAUUCCCAGUGGAGCGGUGAAAUGUGUAGAUAUUGGAAAGACCACCAAUGGCGAAGGCACUCUACUGGGCCAUUACUGACACUGAGAGACGAAAGCUAGGGGAGCAAAUGGG